UACGAAGGUGGCAAGCGUUGUUCGGAUUUACUGGGCGUACAGGGAGCGUAGGCGGUUGGGUAAGCCCUCCGUGAAAUCUUCGGGCCUAACCCGGAAAGUGCGGAGGGGACUGCUCGGCUAGAGGAUGGGAGAGGGGCGCGGAAUUCCCGGUGUAGCGGUGAAAUGCGUAGAGAUCGGGAGGAAGGCCGGUGGCGAAGGCGGCGCUCUGGAACAUUUCUGACGCUGAGGCUCGAAAGCGUGGGGAGCAAACAGG
rnacentral:rRNA from 1 species